rnacentral:rRNA from 1 species
AUUCCAGCUCCAAUAGCGUAUAUUAAAGUCGUUGCGGUUAAAAAGCUCGUAGUUGGAUUUCUGUCGAGGAUGGCCGGUCCGCACUUUGUGCGUGCAUCUGGUUCAGCCUUGGCAUCCUCCUGGGGAACGUAUCUGCGCUUAAUUGCGUGGUGCGGUAUCCAGGACUUUUACUUUGAGGAAAUUAGAGUGUUCACGGCAGGCAAACGCCUUGAAUACAUUAGCAUGGAAUAAUAAUAUAGGACCUUGGUCCCAUUUUGUUGGUUUCUGGAACUGAGGUAAUGAUUAAUAGGGAUAAUUGGGGGCAUUCGUAUUAACGUGUCAGAGGUGGAAUUCUUGGAUUACGUUACGACGAACUACUGCGAAAGCAUUUGCCAAGGAUGUUUUCAUCA